GGCUACAGUCAGUGUUACCUGGACCCUACAGAGGUUGCAUAGAUAGUCCAACUCCUCCAGGGUGGCACAUCAAUACAUGGCAUUGCCAGAAGGU